rnacentral:rRNA from 1 species
GACGAACGCUGGCGGCGCGUCUAAGACAUGCAAGUCGAACGGGGGUAGCAAUACCCUAGUGGCGAACGGGUGAGUAACACGUAGCUACCUGCCUUCCGGUGGGGGACAACAGUUCGAAAGGACUGCUAAUACCGCAUACGAUCUGCGGAUGAAAGCCUUCGGGCGCCGGAAGAGGGGGCUGCGGCCUAUUAGCUUGUUGGUGAGGUAACGGCUCACCAAGGCGAUGAUGGGUAGCUGAUCUGAGAGGAUGAUCAGCCACACUGGGACUGAGAUACGGCCCAGACUCCUACGGGAGGCAGCAGUUAAGAAUCUUGCGCAAUGGGCGAAAGCCUGACGCAGCGACGCCGCGUGGAGGAUGACGGCCUUCGGGUUGUAAACUCCUUUUCGGAGGGAAGAUAAUGACGGUACCUCCGGAAUAAGCCCCGGCUAAUUACGUGCCAGCAGCCGCGGUAAUACGUAAGGGGCAAGCGUUAUCCGGAAUUACUGGGCGUAAAGCGCGCGCAGGCGGCCAAGCAAGUCUGACGUGAAAGCUCCCGGCUUAACUGGGAGAGGUCGUUGGAAACUGUAUGGCUUGAGGCAGUGAGAGGGGUGCAGAAUUCCCGGUGUAGUGGUGGAAUGCGUAGAUAUCGGGAGGAAUACCAGUGGCGGAAGCGGCACCCUGGCACUGAACUGACGCUGAAGUGCGAAAGCGUGGGUAGCGAACGGGAUUAGAUACCCCGGUAGUCCACGCUGUAAACGAUGAGUACUAGGUGUAGGCGGUAUCGACCCCGUCUGUGCCGAAGCUAACGCGAUAAGUACUCCGCCUGGGGACUACGGCCGCAAGGUUAAAACUCAAAGGAAUUGACGGGGACCCGCACAAGCAGCGGAGCGUGUGGUUUAAUUCGAUGCAACGCGAAAAACCUUACCUGGGUUUGACAUGUACGUAGUAGUGAACCGAAAGGGGAACGACUCUUCGGAGAGCGUACACAGGUGCUGCAUGGCUGUCGUCAGCUCGUGUCGUGAGAUGUUGGGUUAAGUCCCGCAACGAGCGCAACCCGCGUCGUUAGUUACAAGUGUCUAGCGAGACUGCCGGUAUCAAGCCGGAGGAAGGUGCGGAUGACGUCAAGUCAGCAUGGCCUUUAUAUCCAGGGCUACACACACGCUACAAUGGGCGGUACAGAGGGAAGCUAAGGGGUGACCUGGAGCAAAUCCCAUCAAAGCCGUUCGUAGUUCGGAUUGUAGGCUGCAACCCGCCUGCAUGAAGCUGGAGUUGCUAGUAAACGCAGGUCAGCAUUACUGCGUUGAAUACGUUCCCGGGUCUUGUACACACCGCCCGUCACGUCAUGGGAGUUGAUAACACCUGAAGUCGGUGACCCAACCGCAAGGAGGGAGCUGCCUAGGGUGGGAUCGAUGACUGGGACG